GUUGAACGCUGGCGGCAGGCUUAACACAUGCAAGUCGAGCGGAGAUGAGGUGCUUGCACCUUAUCUUAGCGGCGGACGGGUGAGUAAUGCUUAGGAAUCUGCCUAUUAGUGGGGGACAACAUUCCGAAAGGAGUGCUAAUACCGCAUACGUCCUACGGGAGAAAGCAGGGGAUCUUCGGACCUUGCGCUAAUAGAUGAGCCUAAGUCGGAUUAGCUAGUUGGUGGGGUAAAGGCCUACCAAGGCGACGAUCUGUAGCGGGUCUGAGAGGAUGAUCCGCCACACUGGGACUGAGACACGGCCCAGACUCCUACGGGAGGCAGCAGUGGGGAAUAUUGGACAAUGGGGGGAACCCUGAUCCAGCCAUGCCGCGUGUGUGAAGAAGGCCUUAUGGUUGUAAAGCACUUUAAGCGAGGAGGAGGCUACUGAGACUAAUACUCUUGGAUAGUGGACGUUACUCGCAGAAUAAGCACCGGCUAACUCUGUGCCAGCAGCCGCGGUAAGAC
rnacentral:rRNA from 1 species